rnacentral:rRNA from 1 species
AUGGCUACUGGGAGGGGCAUUAGCCAGCUUCUGAAGAAAGUAUUUCGCCAGCACCCAUCUGGUUCAUCUCUUCUUUCUUCAACCCGGAUAUAUCAUGGAGAAGGAAUCACUGGCUUCACUGGACUGAAAGCAUUGGCUAUUCUUGGAGUUGGUGCUUCUGGCCUUUUAAGCUUUGGUACAAUAGCGUCAGCUGAUGAAGCAGAGCAUGGGCUCGAAUCUCCGAGCUAUCCCUGGCCACAUGAAGGCAUUCUUAGUUCUUAUGAUCACGCAUCAAUAAGGCGUGGACACCAAGUUUAUCAGCAAGUGUGUGCCUCCUGCCACUCGAUGUCUCUGAUCUCGUACCGAGACCUGGUGGGUGUUGCCUACACAGAGGAGGAAACAAAAGCAAUGGCUGCUGAGAUUGAGGUGGUUGAUGGGCCCAACGAUGAAGGCGAAAUGUUCACGCGCCCGGGUAAGCUGAGUGACCGUCUCCCACAACCAUAUGCGAAUGAGCAAGCAGCUCGAUUUUCAAAUGGUGGAGCAUACCCUCCAGACCUCAGCUUGAUCACAAAGGCCAGGCACAAUGGCCAGAACUAUGUUUUUUCUCUCCUUACUGGUUACCGUGAUCCACCUGCUGGCGUCUCGAUUCGUGAAGGCUUGCAUUACAAUCCCUACUUUCCUGGUGGCGCCAUAGCCAUGCCCAAGAUGCUUAGUGAUGGAGCUGUCGAGUAUGAAGACGGUACUCCUGCAACGGAAGCUCAGAUGGGUAAAGAUGUUGUCUCAUUCUUGUCAUGGGCAGCUGAGCCUGAGAUGGAAGAGAGAAAGCUGAUGGGAGUCAAAUGGAUCUUCCUACUCUCGCUCGCGCUUAUGCAAGCCGCGUAUUACCGGCGCAUGAAGUGGUCAGUCUACAAGUCCCGCAAGCUGGUCCUUGAUGUGGUCAAUUGA